rnacentral:lncRNA from 1 species
GAAAUUAGGAUUUAGGGUUCUUAAAAUUUAUGGCUCGGUUUAGAUUUUGGGUUGGGAAUUGAUGAAAAACAAGGAUAUAUCGAGAUAGAGGGUGAGAAGACGCUUAGGAUUGUGGUGAUUUGGUCGUGAUUUGACCUCCGCCGCCGCCGAAGGCGAUUUCCGGCACGACGGAGUUUGUUCUCCAAUGAAGUGGAAGGCUUUUGAAUAAGUUGAG